rnacentral:rRNA from 1 species
GACGAACGCUGGCGGCGUGCUUAACACAUGCAAGUCGAACGAAGUGGCGAACGGGUGAGUAAUACGUGGGUAACCUGCCCUCCUUUUUCGGAUAAGCCUUGGAAACGGUGUCUAAUACCGAAUAAAGGGGGAUGGGCUCGCGGCCUAUCGGCUUGUUGGUGGGGUGAUGGCCUACCAAGGCGGUGCCGGGUAGCCGGACUGAGAGGGGGACCGGACACAAUGGGACGGGGAUAAGGCCCAGACGCCUACGGGGGGGAGCAGGGGGGGAUAUUGAACAAUGGGCGAAAGCCUGAUGCAGCGACGCUGCGUGGGGGAUGAAGGUUUUCGGGUUGUAAACCUAUUUCGCUAUCGAAAGCGUAGGUGGAGAAGAAGCGACGGCUAACUACGUGCCAGCAGCCGCGGUAAUAC